UCAGUGAAAUAGGUCAUUUGGAGAGCAGAGUGCUACAGUAAAACAGAAUGGUCAUCAGUGAAAUAGGUCAUUUGGAGAGCAGAGUGCUACAGUAAAACAGAAUGGUCAUCAGUGAAAUAGGUCAUUUGGAGAGCAUAGUGCUACAGUAAAACAGAAUGGUCAUCAGUGAAAUAGGUCAUUUGGAGAGCAGAGUGCUACAGUAAAACAGAAUGGUCAUCAGUGAAAUAGGUCAUUUGGAGAGCAGAGUGCUACAGUAAAACAGAAUGGUCAUCAGUGAAAUAGGUCAUUUGGAGAGCAGAGUGCUACAGUAAAACAGAAUGGUCAUCAGUGAAAUAGGUCAUUUGGAGAGCAGAGUGCUACAGUAAAACAGAAUGGUCAUCAGUGAAAUAGGUCAUUUGGAGAGCAGAGUGCUACAGUAAAACAGAAUGGUCAUCAGUGAAAUAGGUCAUUUGGAGAGCAGAGUGCUACAGUAAAACAG